AGAGUUUGAUCCUGGCUCAGGACGAACGCUGGCGGUGUGCUUAACACAUGCAAGUGGAGCGACGAACCAGGGCUUGCCCUGGGGCAGAGCCGCGAACGGGUGAGUAACACGUGGGUAACCUACCCCGAUGACUGGGACAACCCGAGGAAACUCGGGCUAAUACCGGAUAUGUCCGACUUUCACGAGGAAGUCGAGCAAAGGAAGCUUCGGCCUCCGCAUUGGGAGGGGCCCGCGGCCCAUUAGCUAGUUGGUGGGGUAAUGGCCUACCAAGGCUGCGAUGGGUAGCUGGUCUGAGAGGACGAUCAGCCACACUGGGACUGAGACACGGCCCAGACUCCUACGGGAGGCAGCAGUGGGGAAUCUUGCGCAAUGCGCGAAAGCGUGACGCAGCAACACCGCGUGAGGGAAGACGGCCUUCGGGUUGUAAACCUCUUUCAGGAGGGACGAAGGGUGGCCGGUGAAUAGCCGUGCCGCUUGACGGUACCUCCAGAAGAAGCUCCGGCUAACUACGUGCCAGCAGCCGCGGUAAUACGUAGGGAGCAAGCGUUGUGCGGAAUCAUUGGGCGUAAAGCGCGCGUAGGCGGCCCGAUAAGUCUGCUGUAAAAGUCAACUGCUCAGUCGUUGAAAGCCUGUGGAUACUGUCGGGCUAGAGUUCGGANGAGGCAAGUGGAAUUCCUGGUGUAGCGGUGGAAUGCGCAGAUAUCAGGANGAACACCUAUAGCAAAGGCAUUCUGCUGGGACGGUACUGACGCUAAUGCCCCAAAGCGUGGGGAACGACCAGG
rnacentral:rRNA from 1 species